rnacentral:rRNA from 1 species
UACGUAGGCAGCAAGCGUUGUUCGGAGUUACUGGCGUAAAGGGUGUGUAGGCGGUCUUCUAAGUUUGGUGUGAAAUCUCCCGGCUCAACUGGAGGUGCGCCGAAAACUGGAGGCUAGAGUGCGGGAUGGAGAGUGGAAUUCCUGGUGUAGCGGUGAAAUGCGUAGAGAUCAUGAGGAAGACCAGUGGCGAAGGCGGUCUCUGGACAGUUCCUGACACUGAGGCACGAAGGCCAGGGAGCAAACGG